rnacentral:rRNA from 1 species
GAUGAACGCUGGCGGCGUGCCUAAUACAUGCAAGUAGAACGCUGAAGGAGGAGCUUGCUCUUCUGGAUGAGUUGCGAACGGGUGAGUAACGCGUAGGUAACCUGCCUGGUAGCGGGGGAUAACUAUUGGAAACGAUAGCUAAUACCGCAUGACAACAGUUAUUGCAUGAUAACUGUUUAAAAGGGGCAACUGCUCCACUACCAGAUGGACCUGCGUUGUAUUAGCUAGUUGGUGAGGUAACGGCUCACCAAGGCGACGAUACAUAGCCGACCUGAGAGGGUGAUCGGCCACACUGGGACUGGGACACGGCCCAGACUCCUACGGGAGGCAGCAGUAGGGAAUCUUCGGCAAUGGACGGAAGUCUGACCGAGCAACGCCGCGUGAGUGACGAAGGGUUUCGGAUCGUAAAGCUCUGUUGUAAGAGAAGAACGAGUGUGAGAGUGGAAAGUUCACACUGUGACGGUAUCUUACCAGAAAGGGACGGCUAACUCCGUG